AAGGCCUUAAGUUAACCAAACUAAUAGCCUUCAAAGUUGUCAAUAAAGAUUAAUUUCUUUAGGCCUUA
rnacentral:tRNA from 1 species